rnacentral:lncRNA from 1 species
AUUCCUCGUAGACGGGAUGGUUGUGAGCGGGACAGAAACUCCACCACAAGGGUUCUGGGGGUACUACAGGGACUAAAGGAAGCAGUGUGAUCAGUGUGAAAGCAGCAAGGCCAUGAUUUAUUUCUUGGGCGUGUAGUUUUCUCCCGAGGCCUCUGCUUGGUUAUUUUACCCAGCAUCGGUGCCAAAGGAGAUUUCCCCAAAGGGAAAAGUACUGCAGUGCUCGACGCAUUACAGUCCUUUCCCGUUUGCAAGCUCUCCCACACAUUCCUUCUUCUGUUCCCAAAUCACAGGAGACGACGAGAAAGAGAACAGACCACCUGUCCAGAUAAUUUGCCUUUGGAGUCUGCAGGGCUGGUGAAGGCAUCCUGAGAUGGGGGAGGCCCCUGGGGACCUCCACAGUCAGGGCUCCCACCUCCUCUCCCACACCGCUCUGCCUCAUGCCCUGGGUUGCCUGUCUGACUGUCUCAAGACUGGGGGUUCUCCGGUGAGCAGAUGGCUGCUUAGCGUCUGAGGGGCAGACACCAUGCCGUGGUGACAGCGUGAUCCCUUGAUGGAAAGGCCACCAGAACCACUGGUAGUGCAGCUGGACACUGCGGAGCCCUGGGACCACACCCGCUGCCUCCCUCCAGACUCCUUAGGUCUAUGCCGUGUGCCUGGCUUUUUCCAACCACUCCGAAUUGAUCAUUUCCUAAUGACCACAUGGCUCAGAAACUCACAGCACAUCCUUCUAGGGGCCUCUUUCUCCCAAGUCCUCCCAGGGACUUGGCAGCUUCAUCUCUAAGGCCUGCAGAGGCUGUGGCUAUGGCUGUCCAUUGUUCUCGCUCCUUGGCUUCAGUUCAGAGCCAUCAAAUCCCUGCAGCUCGCACACUGGAACAUUCAUAUUUUGGAUAAGCAGUCAACAAAACAGCUUCUAGAAAAUGGAAAACCCAGAGUGUGAUCUACCAGGAGCUCCUGGUUUCAACCAGUUCCUUGCUGUACCUGCUGGGCCUGUGAUACGAAGAAACAUCAUGGCUUCAAUGGCAGCCUUGGAAAUGAACUUCAUUGAAAGGGAAUUUACACUGAGGUUUAUGAUUGCUGCUAUGAAAAGAGUGCACAUCCUUUCCUUCGAAACACAAGACUAGAAAAAAAAAACUCUAAAAUUCAUACGG